GUAAAUUGUGUGGCUCAAGAAACCCAGGCAUACAGAAAAACAGGCACUUAACAUACACACAUUAUAUCAGAUGUUAGUCUGCUGUACUAACCUCCUAUGUCCUGCUUUCCAUAAAGACUACCUAUUAAUAUCUGAUAUUAAAACAAUGCCAGUGAUGGAUGAAGAUGAAGAGCUGGAGAGAGAGAUGCUCAGUAUCUCUCCUUCCAAGCAACAUGUGCAGAGCUCUGUUUUUGCAUCAUCCUUAUCCUCAUCAUCUGCCAGACAACGACAGCCUUUGGGAACAGAAAGAAGUUUUUAACCCAAAACGCCGGUGACCGACACGACUGGACCAUGGAUUCUUAUCCCACAUGAAGAUGACUUGUAUCAUCCCGUCUCAUGUUGACCAUGUUCUGGUCAUGUUUGUCUUUUGGUGUAUCACUUAUUGUCCCAGUGACUAUGAAUUGAUCCCAGUCAUGAUGAGGAGGCACAUUCCAGGAGGAGGGUUAUUACUUCGACCAGGAGCAGUGGGUCACUGGAACACAAACUUCCCCAGAGCCGUUUCAUGUUCAGGGGAUGACUGUGGCACGGUGGACUUGAAACAGCCUAGUAUUCACCUCCACGCUGAUCCUGCAUUAAUGGCCCAGUUCAACACAGUCUCUGAACGGGUGUUGGGACACGUCCCAUUUCUCUAGUAAAGACACUGGAGAGAUGUUUGGCCUACAGUACAUUGAGCCUGGUUACCACCAAGUUCCUUUGGACUGGGACCAGCAAAGGACCGAGACAGACUCUGCCCGGCCCUGAAUCCACCUCCUCAAAGCAGCGCGCCCACUGCCCAGUCAUCCUCAAUGGCACCCCUCAAGCUGCUUCAGUUUCCUCCACGCCCUCCUGCAGAUUCUGCUGUCAAACCAGACGUGAAUCCCAGUACGACUCCCGGGCCUCAGACAGAUCCAGGACAGAGACAGACUACAACGCAUAGUCAGG